rnacentral:rRNA from 1 species
GGGCUUGACAUCCCACGAAUCCCUUCGAAAGAAGGGAGUGCCCGCAAGGGAGCGCGGAGACAGGUGGUGCAUGGCUGUCGUCAGCUCGUGUCGUGAGAUGUUGGGUUAAGUCCCGCAACGAGCGCAACCCUCACCUCUUGUUGCCACCAGGUCAUGCUGGGCACUCUAGAGGAACUGCCCCGGUCAACGGGGAGGAAGGCGGGGAUGACGUCAAGUCAUCAUGCCCCUUACGUCCUGGGCUACACACGUGCUACAAUGACCGGUACAAAGGGAUGCCACACCGCGAGGUAGAGCUAAACCCAAAAAGCCGGUCUAAGUUCAGAUUGGAGUCUGCAACUCGACUCCAUGAAGGAGGAAUCGCUAGUAAUCGCGUAUCAGCACGACGCGGUGAAUACGUUCCCGGGCCUUGUACACACCGCCCGUCACACCACGAAAGCCCGUUGUACUCGAAGUCGCUGAG